AUCUGUGUGGGUUCAACAGCAGAACACCUCAGAGCCAGCCCCAUGGGGCAGCACACAUGCACACAAAAGCUUUUAUUAUGUGAAACAAGAACUAAAGCUGCCUGAGACACAGCAGCAGAUGCAAGGGAGAUACUCCUCUGAUCCUGCUGGAGCAGAGCACAGCACUGACCACCAUCCCCCUGCCACAGCUGGUCUGGCCACAGGCACACAGCCACACACCAGCCCACCUGGCUCUGCAAGAACCCACUUCUGAUUAAAGCAUGCAGCCACCACACUGACAGUGUUCUAAAUUGAAAUUUAAAUACAUUAUCUGACAAAAUACGGUAUUUGGCAGAGCUGCCAGGAGCACUAAUGAAGACUGGGGUGUGAAGGGGGAGCAGCAACUUCAAUGAAUCAAACACAGGAGCUCAGACUGGCACUGGAGUCCCGUGUGGGACAGCAGCCAGAGCUUGCAUGUCACCAACUCUGCAACUGCCAUGUCAGGUGACAAAGGCACUCCUCAGCCUUCAUCAACCACUCUUUAAAAAGCCAAAAUAAAUUCUACCUGGGUGCUGUAACCAAAAUGUUUUAGGUUCCUGAACUAUGAGAGAGGUGAGGUGGCUGUGACAAGCUCUGAGCAAACCCUGACCAUGCAGCAGUACCACAGUUCCACACAGGCCCAUCCCUCUAGGCCUUAGAUCCCCCACCAGCUCAGUCUUCCACUGCUCUGGGAAUCUGUCACAUGUUUUUGAGCCAUUUGCAUGCUAAGGCUGAACAGGAAAAAAACCCAAACCUUUCUAUCCAAGGAGAGACUACAAACACGGCCUGGCACCAGCCUCUGACAGCUUCAUACCAUGGUUCAGAAAGGAGGAAGAGCAAUGCUGCACCUGUUCCAUGGUAUGCUAACUUUCCAAAGUCAGAAAGCAUCAGGACACUGCCCACAGACAGGGGCUCACAACUGUCCCAACAGCCAGGGCUGCAAUGACUUGCACCAGCUUCUAAAUACUGCUGUUCCAAGGGCUCUGGAAAUCUACUCAAGCUCCAAUCAAGAAAGGUUUUUUCUGCUCCUGAUUUGGAGGGCCAGGCAGAAAUGAGAUCCAUAUAAAUUCCUGGGUGAGAACUCUGAGCAGAGACUACUGCAGUCCCUGCUUUACCAGCACAGUUCAGCCCUCACUGGAGGCAGUGGAACCAGGAAUGGGAAGAAAAUUCCAGGAGGGUUCAAAGGGAGCUGAGAUAGCAGUGAUACCCUGUUGAGGAUUAGGAUUUUCCCUUUUGUUUCUUUCUCCAGUGGAAUUUUGUCCCAUCUACUGCUGAAUGACAAUAGACCAGUACUUAAGAGAGACUAAAGAAAUGGCCAUGGUGGGGGAAAUACGUAGCUUGUUACUCUCUUACCUGGGGGGGUUUCUCUUUGGAAGGGCAAAGAUACCAUGAGAUUUUGGCUGGGGGGGUGAGGGGUUGGGCUCAGCUCCUCUCACUCUCUUGCUGUUGGCAACAGAGGAGGACGGCCAAGCUGUUGCUUACUGUGGGGAGAAUUCGCUGCCACCACCAGAGCCCAGCCCUGUACUGCUUCUCCUACCGUGGGUGAGCCAUUGUUCAUAACAGCCACCACUGAACUGGGACCUUAUGAACACCCUACCUCACUGGAAAAACCACAGAACAAUCUGAACUGGAAGGGACCCACAAGGAUUAUCGAGUCCAAGUCCUCAGUGAACGGCCUGUAUGGGGAUUGAACCCACAACACUGUCAUUAUCAGCACCUUGCUCUAACCAACUGAGCUACUCUCACAAACAGGCUGUCUUCAGCUGGCAAGAAAUCAGCAUCAGGAAUACAAAAAACUCCAAACCAAACACUAGCCAACAAAUUUAAGAGAAAAUAACAAAAAAAAAAAAUAUCCCUCAAACUUUGAAGUUAUUUACUUGAUAAAUCAACAACAGCUCUUCCCAAACUGCAAAAACAGCUCCAGGGAACGCUUCCUUAUUGCCUAGGCAAUAAGUUAAGCUAGAAUUGUUUUAACAUCUGGGGAAACAUCUUCACUGAUAAUGGCUCCAGACUGCAUCCUGCCCAAAUCUCAUCUCCCCUGAGAGCUGGAGGUGAAGGCGUCCAUCACAGAAAGUAUGUGCCCUGACAGACUUAAACUGCAUGAGUUUUUGGGAUUUGGAACCUUCCCACACAGUUGUUCACUUCCAUUACCACCAUCUUCAAACUGUUUAUUGCACCAUUCCCAAAAGCCCUGGCACAGAGAAGGUCCCCCAUUAAGACAGCACACAAACACAUUAAGAUGGACCACACAGAAUGGAUAUGAAGAAGACAUUCUCAAUUUUAACAUAUUACUCAAGCUCUGGAAUUUGAAACUAUUUCAAAUCUAUGUUAAAUUUUGGUGCCUGCAGAGCAGAACAGUUUAGUACUUGACCCAGGGGGAAAAAAAAAAAAAAA